AUUGAACGCUGGCGGCAGGCCUAACACAUGCAAGUCGAACGAGUGGCGGACGGGUGAGUAAUGUAUGGGCAACUGCCUGAUGGAGGGGGCUAACUACUGGAAACGGUAGCUAAUACCGCAUACCAUCAGAUGUGCCAAGGUGGGAUUAGCUAGUUGGUGGGGUAACGGCUCACCAAGGCUACGAGCCCGAGCUGGUCUGAGAGGCUGACCAGCCACACUGGAACUGAGACCCGGUCCAGACUCCUACGGGAGUCAGCAGUGGGGAAUAUUGCACAAUGGGCGCAAGCCUGAUGCAGCCAUGCCGCGUGUAUGAAGAAGGCUUUCGGGUUGUAAAGUACUUUCGGUGGAGAGGCGGUACCCGCAGAAGAAGCACCGGCUAACUCCGUGCCAGCAGCCGCGGUAAUAC
rnacentral:rRNA from 1 species